GGCGUUGUAGCUGAGCUGGUAAAGCGCGACGUCGUCAAGGUCGCUGAGCUUGCUCAGUUGCGUGUCAUCCAAGGCGACUUUCGCCAACGGCUCCA
rnacentral:tRNA from 1 species